GGAAUAUUGGACAAUGGGGGAAACCCUGAUCCAGCGACGCCGCGUGGGUGAAGAAGGCCUGCGGGUUGUAAAGCCCUUUCGGUGGGGAAGAAAAGCCUCGACCUAACACGUCGGGGCAUUGACGUAACCCACAUACGAAGCACCGGCUAACUCUGUGCCAGCAGCCGCGGUAAUACAGAGGGUGCGAGCGUUACUCGGAAUUACUGGGCGUAAAGCGCGCGUAGGCGGCAUUGCAAGUCGGGUGUGAAAUCCCCGGGCUCAACCUGGGAACUGCAUUCGAGACUGCGUUGCUUGAGUAUGGGAGAGGGAGGCGGAAUUUCCGGUGUAGCGGUGAAAUGCGUAGAUAUCGGAAGGAACAUCAGUGGCGAAAGCGGCCUCCUGGACCAAUACUGACGCUCAUGUGCGAAAGCGUGGGGAGCAAA
rnacentral:rRNA from 1 species